CUGAGGCUCUAUCGAAGCUCAAUAUGAUUGUUUGACAAUGUCAUUUUGAGUCAAACAGAAGCUGAAAUUGAAUCUUUUCUUCAUGGUCGCCGGGCAAUAGCAACCUUCUGUUUUCUGGCACUACCCAAGGAAAGGAUAAAA